AUUGAACGCUGGCGGCAUGCCUAACACAUGCAAGUCGAGCGAGCGGCGGACGGGUGAGUAAUGUCUGGGAACCUGCCUGAUGGAGGUGGAUAACUCCUGGAGACGGUAGCUCAUACCGCAUACCAUCAGAUGUGCCCCGAUGGGAUUAGCUAGUGGGUGGGGUAACGGCUCACCCAGGCGACGAUCCCUAGCUGGUCUGAGAGGAUGACCAGCCACACUGGAACUGAGACACGGUCCAGACUCCUACGGGAGGCAGCAGUGGGGAAUAUUGCACAAUGGGCGAAAGCCUGAUGCAGCCAUGCCGCGUGUGUGAAGAAGGCCUUCGGGUUGUAAAGCACUUUCAGCGGGGAGGCGUUACCCGCAGAAGAAGCACCGGCUAACUCCGUGCCAGCAGCCGCGGUAAUUC
rnacentral:rRNA from 1 species